GGUCUCGUGGCGCAAUGGUAGCGCGUUAGUUUCCGGUACUAAAGGCUGUGCGUUCGAAUCGCACCGGGAUCG
rfam:Aspergillus ruber CBS 135680 unplaced genomic scaffold scaffold00002, whole genome shotgun sequence.